rnacentral:rRNA from 1 species
UACGUAGGGGGCAAGCGUUGUCCGGAAUUAUUGGGCGUAAAGAGCGUGUAGGCGGCCCGAUUAGUCCGCUGUGAAAGUCCAGGGCUCAACCCUGGAAUGCCGGUGGAUACUGUCGGGCUAGAGUCCGGAAGGGGCGAGUGGAAUUCCUGGUGUAGCGGUGAAAUGCGCAGAUAUCGGGAGGAACACCAAUGGCGAAGGCAGCUCGCUGGGACGGUACUGACGCUGAGGCGCGAAAGCGUGGGGAGCGAACAGG